rnacentral:rRNA from 1 species
AUGGAUGCUGCAGCCGCGAGACACGCCGAGUGUGGUGCGGUCGGGGUGAUCUGCAGAAGCUCUGAAGGGAUUUUCUUGGGAGCAUCGGUGCUUGUCUUCAGGUAUAUCACAGAUCCACAGACUCUCGAAGCAAUUGCAACCAGAGAGGCCUUGGCACUAUCAGAUGAUCUUUAUCAGCGGCGGAUUCAUGUUGCCUCUGAUUGCAAAGUGGUGGUGAACGACUUGAAAAAGAAAAACUUAUCUGCCUAUGGAGCUAUCAUACAUGAAAUAAUACGCCACUCGUCAGAUUUUGUUUUUUUUUGUAAAUUUAGCCAUAAAUUUAGGAGCUCAAAUUUUGAAACUCACAACUUAGCGAAGCAUGCUUUAUCUCUCGGGGGUGGCUGCCAUGUGUGGUUGGGAAACCCUGAAGAACUUUCAUCCAUCCCUGUAAAUAUUGUGACAAAUUAA